rnacentral:lncRNA from 1 species
CCAUCACAGCUGAGGCCUCAGCUGAGAAGACUCAAGGCUGAGGUUGACUCAACAGCUGGGUCUAGAAUCAUCUGAGACCUUGUUCACGUACAUACGGCACCUGGGCAAGAAGGACUUGAAGAGGAGGACUGCCACCUGGAACAUUUUCACGUGGUCUCUCCACGUGGCUUGGCUCCCUCCCAGCAAGGCAACCUCAGGAGAGUAAGACCUAUCUGCCAGGGCUCAGGGCUCCUACCACGACUAUUCCUGGGAAGAAGACAGAACUUCACUGUCAUUCAUGAGCAAGCCAUGGAAGUCACAUACAGCUCUUCCAAUGCAUUUCAUGAGAUGCAUGGGAGACACAAGCUGCCUGGAUUUAAAAAGGAGGGCUGUAGACCUCACUUCUCACUAGGAAGAAUGCUGAAGAAUUGGAAGAUGUGUCUUCAAAUCACCACAUAAAAGAAUUGAGAAGUUGGCUGUAGCUACUACUUCUAGAAACUUGACCUAGUGGCCUGGCGUUUUGGGAACUUUGCUAGCUUAUUCAGCACAGGUAACUCAGGGUAAAAAUAACCUGAAGAAGAAAUGUAAUAAUCACUCACUUAUCUUCACCCCAAUUCAGCCAGGGCUAGAUAAUUUUUAGUUUUGAGCCUUUUUUAAAAAAAAAAAUAAAAAGAAACCUGGUAAUAACACAUCUUUGUCUUUUUCUCUUCUUUAAUAGGCUAGAGUUGAUAUUUAAGACUUUAGAAAGGUGCUUCUGGGAAUUUCAACAUUUGGCAGCUGGUAAUAAGUAGGAAAUGUCAUUACAUAAACGCCAGUUUGAGUUUAGAGGCAGGUGGUAUUUUGGAGAAGUCAGUAUCAAUGUGAGGCUGUAGCCACACUGACCGCCUCCAGCCCAUCUGCAGAGACAUUUCUGUCUCUGGCAAGUAAAGCCCCCUCCCUCUGUCUGCUUUGACUGCCUCUCUGAGUUCCCCUUUUUUCUGACCUUGAGUUUCAACUUGAUGAGUCAUCAAAAGGACUGGGCCACUGGAUUCUACCUGGCAAGAACUUCAGUGGCUGUGCCUGUGGUGAGGGACUGUUUUCUGCUCUUAUCACAUCUGUGUUGACAUUCGUGGAACAAAUACUCAUUGAGAGCCUUUUAUGUCCCAAGCACUGUGCUGGGGAAUGCAGUUAGAAAAUAAUGAGUCCAACCAGACCUGGUUCCUGCCUUCAUGGAACUUACAUGUAGGAAAGACGGAAGCUGCAACUUAUCCAGCUCUGCAGGAGUGGUGUGAGGCCUUUGACGCUCAUCCUGACUCCUGACUGAUGAAUUAUUUGGUCGACUGAGGCAGAAUCACCUUUACUGGAGCAUAAUCUGUUGGAGGCAGCAUCUCCUGAAGUCUCCAUGAGUUGCUGGAAUGAAGAAAUGUGUCAUAUGUGAACCAAAACACAUGUAAAAAUUGUUGACAAUAGCACCAUUUGUAAAAGACUAAAACUGGAAACCACCAAAUGAUCAGCAACAGAGAAUAAAAAAUUAUGGCUUAUUUCUACAAUGGAUUGCUAUGCUGCAGUAAGAAUGAAUGAACAGCAGCUACACACAACCGGUAUGGAUGAAUCUCAUGAACACAAUGUGAAGGGAAAGAAGGCAGAAACAUACUUAUCACACCCUCCAUUUAUAUAAAACUCAGAGACAAAACAAAUUUAUGGUGUUAGGAGUCAGGUUCCUUUGGGGAAGAGAGAGGGAGUAGUACCUGAAUGGAGGGGGCAUGGAGGGGGCUUCGGGCAUGCUGGUAAGAUUUUUGUUUUGUUUUUAAUCUGAGUGAUAUAGGUGGUAGUUACUUUUUGAUGUUACAUCGAGCUGUACACUUAUGAUCUGUUCA